CUCCCAUCCUCGUGCUGACCGUGGAAAUCCAUCUAUGCCCUAUGCAGAGUCCUGCGCCUCAGGCUGUGAAACGGCAAAAGCCGAAUUUAAAACAGAUGAUUACACUCACUCUAUGAGGCAAAGAAACUUCUGAGGCUGGCUGAGAGCCAGAGAAAAAGCUGCUGGGAAUUGACAGGCAUCAGGCGACCUCAGUUCCAACAUUUCCAGAAAGAGAAGGCAAUGCUGUGUGAUUGCGCAUCGCUGUGAAGUUACAGGAGACACCAAUUGCACACGCAGCGGUGCACAGACAGCGGGAGGCUGGGCCCUACCAGCUCGAAGGACAAUCACCAUCAGACGCCCCACAGUCCUACUCUCGGGGUGCUCGUGUGCCAUAGGCCAUCACAUUUGAACUGCUCCCCUGUGGGCCAUUCCCACUGGCUUUACUUCCUAGUCUGAAUUCCAUGGGACCUGCAGUUAAGAGGAGAGGGAGCCACUUCGGGACUGGAGAAAGUUCACCUCAUGGAUAUCCCCGCCUCCUUCCUCUGCAGUGAGCGGUCUCUGGCGUCCCUGGGUGUUCGGUUUCUUUCCAGCCAUGUGUUACUGACUGUUCAGGUGGCAAAUGGCUCAUGACCUUUAUGGUAUUUAAGGGAAAAAAAUUAAAAGUUGUGUUUUUUUUACACUUUUAUUUUAGGUUGGGGGUACAUGGGAGGGUUUGCUAUAUAGGUAAACACGUGUCACAGGGGUUUGUUGUACAUAUUAUUUCAUCAUCCAGAUAUUGAUUCCAGUACCCAAUAGUUAUCUUUUCUGCUCCUCUCCCUCCUCCUACCUCCCACCUGAAGUAGACCCCAGUGUCUGCUGUUUCCUUCUUUGUGUUCACAGGUUCUUAUCAUUUAGCUCCCACUUAUACAUGAGAACAUGUGGUAUUUGGUUUUCUGUUUCUGCACUAGUUUGCUAAAUAUAAUACCCUUCAGCUUCAUCCACAUUAAUGCAAAAGACAUAAUCUCGUUCUUUUUUAUGGAUGCCUAAUAUUCUAUGGCAUGUAUGUACCACAUUUUCAUUGUGAUUAAUGGGCAUCUGGGUUGUUUCUAUGUCUUUGCUAUUGGGAAUAGUGCUGCAGUAAAUAUUUACAGGCACGUAUCUUCAUGGUAGAAUGAUUUACAUUCAUCUGGGUAUACACCCAAUAAUGAAAUUGCUAGGUCAAAUGGUAGUUCUGCUUUCCACCACGGUUGAACUAACUUACACUCCCACCAACAGUGUAUAAUUGUUCACUUUUCUCCAUAACGUUGCCAGCAUCUUUUUUUUUUUUUUUACUUUUUAUAAUAGCCAUUCUGAUUGGUGUGAGAUGGUAUCUCACUGUGGUUUUGAUUAGCAUUUCUCUAGUGAUCAGUGAGACAGAGCUUUUUUCAUAUGCUUGUUUGCGACAUGUUUGUCUUCUUUUGAGAAGUGUCUCUUCAUGACCUGGAGCCAUUUUUUAAUGGGGUUAUUUUUCUCUUGUAAAUUUAAGUUCCUUAUAGAUACUGGACAUUAGACCUUUGUCAGAUGCAGAGUUUGUACAUAUUUUCUCCCAUUCUAUAAGCUGUUUACUUUCUUGAUAGUUUCUUUUGCUGUGCAGAAGCUCAUUAGUUUAAUUAGAUACCACCUGUCAAUUUUUGAUUUUAUUAUAAUUGCUUUUGUUAUCUUUGUCACAAAAUCUUUGCCUGCUAUAGCCAGGAUGGUAUUGCCUGGGCUGUCUUCCAGGGUUAUUAUAUUUUGGGAUUUUACACUUAAGUCUUUAAAUCAUCCUGAGUUGAUAUUUGUGUGUUGUGUAAGAAAGGGGUCCAGCCUCAAUCUUCAGCACAUGGCUAGCCAGUUAUCUCAGCACCAUUUAUUCAAUAGGUUCAGCCCUGGCCCUGCAUCCCACUUUCAAAUGUAGUGGCUCCCUCACCUAGGAAGGCCCUCCCCACGCUGGCUCCCUCUGCUCACCCGACUGUACUUGCUUCUUUUAAUCCCCUGGGAACACCGUUUCUAGGUUGGGUGUGUUUUCCGUAAUAAACAGGUGUUGUUGCACACUUACUGAGGACUUUUUGGAUGCCAUGCUAAGCAUUUCAGAGUCAUGAGCUCAUUGUACAAACUACCCUUUAUAACACUCCUGUGAAUUUAUAUUCCCAUAUGAAUUGGCCUGAGGAAGUGGGGUGCUGGAGUGAUUAAGUAAUUAAAUGACAGCGCAGUUAAUUACUGAGGGGAUUUGGGUUUGGACCUGGAUCUGAUUCAAACACUUAAGUCUAUAACCACAAGUGUUGCCAUGUCAUUUACAUCAGGAUUUAGAAUCCCUGCUGGCAGGCUGGGAAGAUGCAUUGUAACCAGAUGAGAGGUAAUCACCACAUUUACUGAGUUGUGAGAACCACCGUACUGCCUUUCAUAGAGUGCCAGGCCCUCCUGUAUUUGCCUCGGUGUCUCCAGCUUGAAUUGCCUCACCCCUGGCUCUCAGCAGUGCUGCACCUCUCUCCUGCAUGGAUCACCUGUUCCUGGAGUUCAUUUCUCCCAUUCCUCAGGUUGCCACUUCACUGUAGCUUCCUGAGAAAAGAUGGAGUCUUCCUUUGCUUCCACAAAGGAAGAGUGCACAGGAGCCUGGCACCCAUGGACCUGAGGAAACCCUGAAAGUGUUGGUAUCUGCAGAUCCUCUCCAAAAAGAGUUUGCCAAUCUCCUAAGACUGCAAGCCUGACCCCAGCGUUCUGAAAGCCAAAGGGAGAAUGAGUCUGCAGAUCUCCCUGCUCAGUAAAUUGGAUUUCACUAAAUACUCUGUUUGCAUACGCAGCAUUACCCAGUGUCCUGGAGCUUAGAAAAGUUCUGUUCUGAUGUCGGAAGAAAAUAGUUUAUUGUCCUAAUGACAGGGAGGAGUAUUUGAUGGCCAGUGUGGAACGAGGGGGUUAUGCGAUCACACUUCCCAACAUGCUUUGAACCAACCGUUCUGUGUCUGCCUCUCCAUCUCCUCUGCUUACCUAGAAA